GUAUUGAUAGUGACUACACAGUAGCGGCUGGAUAUUGGUAGGGACGUGUCCCUAGCGUCCCUACCCAAUUCUACGCCCUUGUAAAAUAGUUUUACCGGGGAUGGGGAGCUGGUUGUACUUACUCCUCUGGCGAGACCUGGAAAAGAGCUGGGUACUUGUUUCUCUCGCGAGAUCUGACAACACUGCGCGUGAACCAAACAUGGCGAGGAUAAAGCAAGAUGGCGUCUGGAGACGUUUUUGCAGUCGUCAAAGUUCAGUGUUCUUAAUCUGUGCCUCCAUGUACACAUAUAUGUCCUUUAUUAGACUCUAUUAAAUAGAGUAUACAUCUUUAAUAACUGUUUGCAUCCGGUUAUAUUAGUUUGAGCGCACUUUGAUGCAUCUCGAGCUAGUUUGCUUGCUAGUUAGCUUAGCUUGUUAGCUGUUAACAAAGAGAGGCGGAAGUGAUCAACACGUCGCUAAGUAGAGAUCAAAUGUGAGUGUAAAGUGUUGUGAUUGUGUGAAAAUGUGCGAAAGAACGAAAGCAAAUUAUGAGGAGGAACUUUGUCCAACAAAAGACAAGGAGCGACAACAUCAACUACUGGACGCUGUUUUCAAGAAACAUCAAGUUGUGUUACACAAAACAGGUGGAUUGGACGUUGGCCUGGGAAGGCAUUCCCCUGAAGGUGCUCUGCAUGGGUCAGCUGGAAGUACCCUGACUGCUGUGAGGGGGAAACUGAUGAGAUCGUGAGAUCAUAUAUGUCGAAGAAGAACAUCUUUCUCAUGAGCAGGAGGAGGAACCACUAUCCCCCCACAUACACGAGGAAGAAGAGGUACCACAUUACCAACACAUCAAAGAGGGAGGAGAGGAGCCACAGCCCCCCCACAUUAACGAGGAAGACAAGACGCCGCAGACCCAUAGUGUUAAACUGACCCUUCACAUUAAAAGGCAAGCGGAGGACUCACUGAACUUACACAUAAAAAAUGAAGAGGAGGACCCACUAACCCCUCACAUUAAAAAGGAAGAGGGGGACCCACUGACCCCUCACAUUAAAAAGGAAGAUGAGGACCCUCUGACCCCCUACUUUAAAGAGGAAGAGGCGGACCAAGAGCUGCCGCACAUUAAAGAGGAAGAGGAGGAACACCGCAUCAGUCAGCCUAAAUGUUUGGAGGAGUUCCCAGUGACUGGUGUCCCUGUGAAGAGUGAAUAUGGUGAGGUCAAAGGUGAAAGUGAGGAGAGGGGAGGGGCGGAGCCUCCACUCAGCAGCUCAACACAACACAUGACAACAAAAGCUGAUGAAGACCACUGUGGAGGAUCACAAGCAGACAAGCUCUUAGCUCCACUAUCAGAUAGUGAGGACACAACGUCACACUCUCCUGACACUGAUGAUGAAGACUCUAAAGAUGAUAAAACAUGUCACACUGACAACACUCACUUCACAUGUUCUCUCUGUGACAAAACAUUUAAAUACCAUAGUUAUCUGAAAGUACACAUGAGAACACACACUGGAGAAAAACCUUUUAUCUGUUCACUCUGUGGUAAAGGUUUUGUAGAAAGUCCCACUUUGAAGGUACACAUGAGAAGACACACUGGUGAAAAACCUUUUUCUUGCUCAAUCUGUGGUAAAGGUUUUGCACAAAGUUCAUGCUUGGUAAAACACAGAAGAACACACACUGGAGAAAAAUCUUCUAUCUGUUCAAUCUGUGGUAAAGGUUUUGUUCAAAGUAACAAUUUGAAAGUGCACAUGAGAAUUCACACCAGAGAAAAACCUUUUAUCUGUUCAAUAUGUAGUAAAGGUUUUACACAAAGUCAACAUUUGAAAACACACAUGAGAACACACACUGGUGAAAAAUCACAGUCCUUUUGAAUCUGCAACAGAAGCUUUUGUGACCAAUCAAACCUUGUAGCACACCUGAAAAGACACCCAGGAGAGAAAGUGUUGAGUUGCAGUGUGUGUGGUGAAAGAUUCUCUUCUAAGUACCAGUGUAAGAAACACAAGUGUGCUGGUGAGAACAGCAGCAGCAAAUGAAACUGCAGGAUUUGAAACAAACUGUCAAGACUUUAAUUUUGACUUUCUAACAUCAGCACAUAUAACAUGUGUGACAUUGUUGUUUGUGUAACAACCUGUUUAAUAUGCUUCUACAUUUAUAGAUUAGAUAGUUUGAAAUAUGAAAGUAUUACAUAUUUGUAUUUGUAAGUGUUAAUAAUCCCAUAGAUAAGCACCUUUAUAUGAUAUACAUAUGUACUGGAUCACAUUUGAAACAUCUUCUGAACCACUUCAGGGAGCAUAUUAUUAUUUACUUUAUACAUCAUUUGAACAGUUGUCUUUUAUACAAUUUUAAAAUGUGUGACUUUAUGAAUCAUUUGUUGGGUAUCUGUAAUCCAUUUUAUUAAUUAUCUUUAUUACUGUCUUUUGUAUUAUGAUGAUUGUGUUGAUAUUGUUUUAUACUUUAACUUAUAAUGUCUAAAUUGUUUGUGGAAGGAUGGUUUUGUUUUUACAAACAUACAUUUGUGGGUUAAAAAAAAUCCAUCCAUCCAUCCAUUUACUACCGCUUAUUCCCUUUAAGGUCGCAGGGGGCACUGGUGCCUAUCUCAGCUACAAUCGGGCGGAAGGCGGUGUACACCCUGGACAAGUCGCCACCUCAUCGCAGGGCCAACACAGAUAGACAGACAACACUCACAUUCACACACUAGGGCCAAUUUAGUGUUGCCAAUCAACCUAUCCCCGGGUGCAUGUCUUUGGAGGUGGGAGUAAGCCGGAGUACCCGGAGGGAACCCACGCAGUCACGGGGAAAACAUGUAAACUCCACACAGAAAGAUCCCUUAUUGUGUUUUAGACAUUUUUUACAACAUCAAUAUCAAUCAAAGUUUGGAAUGUCAGGCAAAAGCCGAUAUUUUACAUUAUCUCACAGUGAUUUCAUUCAUUCAUUUCAUUCACAAAAUAAACUGUUUAUUUAGUUUCCCUAUCACAGAACGAACAAGUGUUGUAUCCAAUUGCAAAACAUCUUAAAAAUUAUUUUAAGUUUUCAAUCCGGGGCUUUUUUUUUUUUUAAAUUAACUCCUUGGCUUCUGCGAUGAGGUGGCGACUUGUCCAGGGUGUACGCCACCUUCUGCCGAAUUGUAGCUGAGAUAGGCACCAUGAUUAUCCCAACAUCUAAGAGAACAGUCAUAUUGGCAAACUCCGAUGAACAUGAAUUAGUUUGGAUGUUCAGUGACAAGCUGGGAACUGUCAAAGCUCCAAGCACCAAUUGCUUGAACACAAAGCUCAUUAUUGACAAUCAAGCCACUUUUACAUCGUCAUCAAGUAAGAAGGUUUUGACCAAAAAAGAAGCCACUCUCCCAAAGUUGCCAACUCUGAGCUGGAUUUAACUUGGAUGCUCCCCACAUGUUCGAGCCAAAUGCCUUGGGGACACAAGUUUAAUGGUCCGUUGAGACAAAUAGUCAGCUACUUUUGUUAAAGUCCAAUUAACAGCAAAAUGGCUGAACAAGGUACACAAGAGGGUAUUCAAACAAGAUGGUUUUAAAGGGUUUCAGGCAGGUUAAAUUAAGUUUAAUUGUAUGCAAUAUUCCUAACAUUCAUGGUAGUAAAACAUUCUUCAAUGACUUGGUCUCAUUUUGGUAUAUUUUUAAAUUACAUCUGCGGUCCCCUCCAAGGUUUCUCAUUGUCAUCCCACUGGGUUGAGUUUUUUCUUGCCCUGAUGUGGGAUCUGAGCCGAGGAUGUCGUCGUGGCUUGUGCAGCCCUUUGAGACACUUGUGAUUUAGGGCUAUAAGUACACUUUGAUUGUUUGAUUGGUUGAUUGAUAAUAAAGUGAUUUAAAAAUCAGACUUAGUAUCAGGUGAUACUAACCUUCGAUAACUCAGCUGGUAGAGCAGAGGAUUGUAGUUGCUCAUGCUGAAAUCCUUAGGUCGCUGGAUCAAAUCCGGCUCGAAUGAUCAUCAGUUACCCUUUAAAAAAAAAAAAAGUAAUCAACAUAAACAACACAAGAUACACAUACAAUUAGUGCACCAGCCCAAAAACUGUCCCUCCCUCAUUCUCACUCAUUCGCACAUUAAAUCUUUGUGUGAUGUCGUUCAAAUAAGAAUCAAAAUAAUGUCUUACAUUCUGAGGAUGUAAACUGUGUGUUGUUUUGGCGUAAGAUAUUUACGAUAUACAACCUGUCCUAAAGUAAGAUGUUUCUUCUUUCUUCUGAUGCAAUGGAUAAUGGGUCUCACUACGGCCUGCAAAAUUCAAGGUUCAACUCCUGGCCAGCGUGCUGUUGUUUGUUAACUGAACUGAAACAACAUUCAGUGCAAUUUUGGGGGGAGUUUAUUUUGCUUCUUUUUUUUAAUCUACAAACUGAAACAUGUGUUGUUUUUUCUCUUUAUUAUUGCGAAUGUAUAACUGGUAGUUGUAUCUGUUCUUAUACUCAAGGCAUUCAAUCAGAAUAAAGUGGGUGAGGAAAAAGGUGACCAAAACAAUAUAAAUGUGACUAUUUUACAUCUUAACAGUUGUUCUUUACACCACAAUGGAGUAAAACCUAAACAUUUCCCCAGAACAUUAAGCAUUAGCACACUGAUUGAGAUUCUCUUACAUGAUGUCGUUCAAACAGAAUGUGGCUUGAGCGGAUCGUGCAACAUUAGCCAUCAGGAGAGCAAACACAUUAUCAAUCAAAAUGAGUAGGUACAGCUGUGAUGUUAUAGUGGUUAGUACUCUGUGUUGUGGUCGCAGCAACCCCGGUUCAACUCUGGUUCAUGGCACUUUACCGUUUAAACUGCCUUUUUUUAAGCAUGGUUCAUAGUUCAAAGCAUAGUUAGGGGUGGCAUGGCGUAGUGGGUAGAGCGGCAGUGCCAGAAACCUGAGGGUUGCAGGUUCGCUUCCCACCUAUUGACAUCUGAAUCGCUGCCAUUGUGUCCUUGGGCAGGACACUUCACCCUUGCCCCCGGUGCCGCUCACACUGAUGAAUGAAUGAUUGGUGGUGGUAGGAGGGGCCGUAGGCGCAAACUGGCAGCCACGCUUCUGUCAGUCUACCCCAGGGCAGCUGUGGCUACAGAUGUAGCUUGCCACCACCAGGUGUGAAUGAAUGUUAAGUCCCACUUCUCUGUGAGCGCUUUGAGUAUCUAACAAUAGAAAAGCGCGAAGUAAAUCUAAUCCAUUAUUAUUAUUCAUCUACACUUGAAGACUUAGUUAUUAGCCUCCUAAGAACAUUUCACAAUUUCUGAAAAAUCUGGCAAAUUUUUGCAAUAAUCAUAACAUUCUCGAUAGUAAAACAUUAAUCAGAAGCAAUUUGGUCCAUUUUUUAGAGAGCCUGAAAUGCUCAGUCAUGGAGCGUAAGACAUUCUUUUUGAGCUUCCGGGAUUCAAGUACCUGUUAUGCGGACCAAUACUAGCCUUUGAGACCCCCUUGGAAAGGCCUCAUUCCACCCAUCAAAUGUAACCAAUAGGGAAGACCUUGGUUACAUUUGAAUAUGUAAAUGCAAGUGUUAUUUCUAUAGCUGAAAUAGCUCAGUUGGGAGAGCGUCAGAAUAAAGCUCUGAAGGUUCCUGGUUCGACCCUGGGUUUCAGCACAAUUCUGUGUGCUUCUAAACCAGUUCUUGUUACUAAUAAAAUUUAUGUGGCUCUUACAAUACUGAAAUGGUCUCCCUGACCUACCAGCCUUGCUGGUGGACUCCUAGUAUCAGUUGUUACACACCUUUUCUCCAUUUUAAAUUUGAACAACUGUUACGUGGUUUAACAGUGUAUCGUUCCUUAAGCCAAUGUUUGGUCUUUAACUGACCCUUACAUCGGGCUGUUUCAAACACAAAUUAUUUGCCUUAGGGGUUUGUCUUGGACGAUAUAACUUGAAACUGAAGUAAUAAAGCUGAGCUCAGUUUGGCGGGAAGGUGCAUCCAACACACAGCAAAAGAUUAACCACAACUUUUUCAUACAGAUACAGUAUCUAACAAUGUGUGUUUAAAGUAUUGCUUUUAAUCCUUCAGAUAAUUGCAUUAACGCUCUCCCACCUGAGCUAAAGUGGAUGUGAGGGAUGUUUUUGGUUUCAGUUUUUCAAAUGAAAUAGAGAAAAAACAAUCACUGUUGAAAACUAUUUAAACUUGAUACAGAUUACAAGGACUGCUACCUGGGGGCAAAGGACUGUAUUUUAAAAAGUGUAAGGAGGUUAACAUCACCCGCCUGAACAGGGACUUGAAACCCUGGACCCUCAGAUUAAAAGUCUGCCAACUGAGCAACCCAGGCCCUUUUCAAUGCUGAUUUGCCAACAUCCGAGAUAACAGCCAUAUUGUCAAUCUCAGGUGAAAGUGAAUUAGUCAGCAUGUUCAAUGACAAACUGCGAACUGUCAAAGCUGAAGCUCGCCAAUUGCUUGAACCCAAAGCUCAUUUUUGACAGUUAGACCAGUUUUACAUCGGCAUCAACAAAGGUUUUCAUCAACAAAGAAGGUUUUGACCAGAUAAGAAGCUCCUCUCCCGAAGUUGCCAACUCUGAGCUGGAUUUAACUUGGAUGAUCCCCAGAAUUUUGCCAGAAGUAUUUUGCUUCAAUUUUUAGUGGAGGUUAGCUGCAACAGGUAGAGCUGGUAAAGGCCCAGGCUGCAACAAAUAGAAGGUCACUAGAUUUUAAAGUCCAACAUAAGCAGUCAGUAAAGCCCUGUUUUGGAAGUAAGCCUAAUAUAAAUUGUGUGUUCCUUUGACGUAAAAUGUUUACAAUAUACAAACUGUACUACAGUAGAACUGCUUUUCACAUAGGGCUAGUGGCGCAAUGGAUAACGCAUCUGACUACGGAUCAGAAGAUUCUAGGUUCAACUCCUGGCUAGCUCGUUUAUUUUCGUUAGUUGAACUGAAACAAAAUUCAGUGUCAUUUCUUUGGGAGUUAUUCUUUUUUUUGCAUUUAAAAUAAAUAUCUACUUACUGGAACAUGCAUUUUUUAAUAUUUUUAUUUUUAUGAAUAGUUAACCGCUGUAAUUGUGUAGUGGUUAGUACUCUUUGUUGUGGCCUCAGCAACGCUUGUUCGAACCUGGUCAUGGCACUUUACCCUUUCUUCAAGCUGUUUGAUGAUGAUUUUUGAAAAAAGAGGUAUCUUGUUCCCUCUGGUAAGUACUUGAACAAGAUGUGAAACCAACCAGGUACUCUGGCAAAAUCAAAAAUAUCUAUUUUAUGUCGUUACAGUAUUGGCCUUGAUGCAUCAUUUAAUUUGACUGAUGUGUGCUUUGUGCUAUUACUUUAUCUCUUGGUAAAAUUGCAUUAUGAGCUCAAUCAAUCAAUACUUUCUUUCUUUUAUUUCUUUCUUUAGUUUAUUUCAAACAUGAACAUACUUACAACAUAAUACAUCAGACAAUUUCAUAUUACAUCAUGUCCAAAAAGGAGUAGGAAGAAGCAAAGCUUUUUUAUUCCUACACUGUAAAAAAUUAUUGUAAAAAUACAAAAAAAAAUCACAGUUAUAUACUGUUCUUCUUAAAUGCAGUUAAGUACUGUUUUUUUUGUUGCAUUUUACAAAAAAUAUCGACUAACAGUAAGCUACUGCACAACCUACAGUAUAAUACAGUAUUUUUCAGACUUGUUUCUUGGCUCCGCCCACAAUUGUCAGACCGAGCUUCUUUUCGCACUGUCUGCUGCUUUCACGCAUAACGCGUACCCAGGCGGAAGAAAAAGUAGUUCCAAGUAAACCGUGUCAUUUAUACAAGAUUUCAAUAGUACUUCCCAUUGUGUUGCUGUUGAUAUUUUUACCUCAAAACAUGUACUAUCAAAGUAUCAACAUUUUGAUUUGAAAAUCAAUUUUAGAGCAUUAAGAUCUGGCACUCCUUUUAUUGAUAUUCAAGUAUCAUUCCGCACAUCUUAACUAGUCUGAAGUUGCCAAGUACUGAUGUUGGACGAUCCACCUCCAUCUACAUGAUCACAUGGCCGCCGGAGCUACAUCCAUCCUACUGGUCUCUUUUUGAUAACAAGAUGGGGAGUUGACUCUUCAUAUCAUCCAGCUGUUGAUUGCCUAUUUUGAUGACAGAAGAGGUGCACUGAUACUCCUGGCAGAUAUGUCUGCCACUGCAGGCGAUGUGGAGCGGACACUGACCCUCCCGACCAGUCCACGACUGAUACUGCUAGUUGCUGGUGACAAAGUCACAAUAAAACGUUAGAUGAUCAGCAUGGAAGGUGAUGUCAUCUGCGAAGGCGUCCAACCUAGCUUCAUCUAAGGGCUUGCUGCCCUUCUUGCCACCUACUAUGUGUUCAACUUGGAAUACCAAGAGGAAGGUGCUCGGACAUUGGAAUUUGUUCAAAGGCGAUUCAUUGGCAUUAAACCUGAGAGGGGAACAAAGGCUAGCCAGGGAAAGAUGGUGUCCAAGAAGACCGGGAAGCUGGUCCAGAAAAAGGCAGCAACUGUAAAUCCUCACGUAGCCACCCUUAUAAAAAUUCUCACAGACUUUGGUGGGGCUUUAUGUUGCCCGACCACUGAACACUGGGUAUGUCAUGUUCUGUUAGUUUAGUCAAUUGUGCAGUUCAGUUUUGUUUUACAAAUUUUUCUAUUGCACAUGAUCCCAACUUGUUUUGUUCUAAAUGUUAAAAAUGUUAUUUGAAAAUGUGUGUGCCCUCUCUGACGGUGAAGCAGAGCCACUAUGUAUGGAGGUGUGUGUGUGGGGGAUGUUUACAUCAUAUCCAAAUGGACAUUUUCAUUUUUGAUCGUUUUGAUUGUUAUCCGGAUGUAGGAACCACGUUCUCUGAUGCCAUCGUUUGUUCCGAUUGCAGGAGUUGCUUAACAUUGUUUUAAAUGUUAAAAUGUUAAUUUAAAAUGUGUGUGCUCUCUCGGAUGGUACAACAGAGGCACUAUGUUUGGGGGUGUCCUGGUGGGAGGAUAUCUAAAUGGACAUUUUCAUUUUGAUUAUCUAGUUCUAAGGACUGUUCUGGUGCUAAAGUUGCUUAAGAUUGUUCUAAAUGUUAAAAUGCUUCACUGAAAAAAAAAAGAAUGCACUAAAUGUACAUUGAAUGUG